rnacentral:rRNA from 1 species
GACGAACGCUGGCGGCGUGCCUAAUACAUGCAAGUCGAACGCAGUAGCGAACGUGUGAGUACCGCGUAGGUAACUGCCUCAUCGCGGGGGAUAACUAUUGGCAACGAUAGCUAAUACCGCAUACUGUGAGAUGGACUUGCGUUGUGUUAGCUAGUUGGUGAGGUAAAUGCUCACCAAGUCGACGAUACAUAGCCGACAUGAGAGGGUGAAUGGCCACCCUGGGAAUGAGCCACGGCCCAGACUCCUACAGGAGGCCGCAGUAGGGAAUCUUGGGAAAAGGACGGAAGGCUGACCGAGCAACGCCGCGGGAGUGAAGAAGGUUUUCGGGUCGGAAAGCUAUGUGGUUAGAGAAGCGGUAACUAACCAGAAAGGGACGGCUAACUACGUGCCAGCGGCCGCGGUAAGAC